AAUCCAUAGGUUAAUGAGGCGAACCGGGGGAACUGAAACAUCUAAGUACCCCGAGGAAAAGAAAUCAACCGAGAUUCCCCCAGUAGCGGCGAGCGAACGGGGAGGAGCCCAGAGCCUGAAUCAGCAUGUGUGUUAGUGGAAGCGUCUGGAAAGGCGCGCGAUACAGGGUGACAGCCCCGUACACAAAAGCGCAUGUGCUGUGAGCUCGAUGAGUAGGGCGGGACACGUGGUAUCCUGUCUGAAUAUGGGGGGACCAUCCUCCAAGGCUAAAUACUCCUGACUGACCGAUAGUGA
rnacentral:rRNA from 1 species